rnacentral:rRNA from 1 species
GAUAAACGCUGGCGGCGUGCCUAAUACAUGCAAGUCGAGCGAAUGGAUUAAGAGCUUGCUCUUAUGAAGUUAGCGGCGGACGGGUGAGUAACACGUGGGUAACCUGCCCAUAAGACUGGGAUAACUCCGGGAAACCGGGGCUAAUACCGGAUAACAUUUUGAACCGCAUGGUUCGAAAUUGAAAGGCUGCUUCGGCUGUCACUUAUGGAUGGACCCGGGUCGCAUUAGCUAGUUGGUGAGGUAACGGCUCACCAAGGCAACGAUGCGGAGCCGACCUGAGAGGGUGAUCGGCCACACUGGGACUGAGACACGGCCCAGACUCCUACGGGAGGCAGCAGUAGGGAAUCUUCCGCAAUGGACGAAAGUCUGACGGAGCAACGCCGCGUGAGUGAUGAAGGCUUUCGGGUCGUAAAACUCUGUUGUUAGGGAAGAACAAGUGCUAGUUGAAUAAGCUGGCACCUUGACGGUACCUAACCAGAAAGCCACGGCUAACUACGUGCCAGCCGCCGCCGUAA